CUCUUUUAGGAAAUAUUUGCCUAUCCCAAACUCUUGAAAAUAUUCUUUGAUAUUUUCUUCUAGAGGCUUUAUUGAUUGAUUGAUUGAUUUUAUUUUUAAGUUCAGGUGUAUAAUCCAUCUUAAACUACUUUUGGUACAAGGUACAAAGUAGAGGUUGAGAUUCAACUUUUUCCAUCCAUUUGUUCAAACAAGGUAUCACAUACAUUUUUUUCUCUGAACUCUGUUCUUUUCAGUUUAUCAAAAUGUCUAGACUUAUGCCAAUAUCACACUUUCCUGAUUAUGUAGCUUUAUAACAAAUGUUUUAAUCCGUUAGCUGAAAUCCUCCUGCUUUGUUCUUCUUUCUUCAACAUUUUUGUGGCCAUUCUACUUCCUCAGCAUGUUCUGUCAGUUAUCAACUUCUUGCCUUUCAAUUAAAAACCAAUCCUUCUUUAUCCUUUUUGUGAUGCUGGAGAUUGGAUUCUGCAAACUGCAUUUUUCCUUUGCUAGCUAUGUCCCUACUAAGCUCUGCUAAUCACGUCCACUAGAGGGAGACUGCAAGGUAGAGGGGCUACACGUUUUUUUUUUCCUGGAUAACUUCCUGAAAGUUUGCAGUUCCUACAAACAGCACCCAGAACCCCCACGGUGGCAGCAGAGCCCAGGCUCACCGUCUUUUCUUUAUGUUCCCAGCUCCAUUUGCACUGUUGGGGACUCACAUCCAAGCUUUAUCCAUGUCCCUCUACGUGCCCUCAUCUGUGGCACAGCUGUCUUCAUGUGGUCCAGAGAAGAGACCUGCUUAGACCUUAAAAACGGGCUUGGGACAAUUUGGAAAGUUAAAGGAAGGAAUAAAAGAUCAGCUAAAGGAGAACAACCAGAAGCCAAGACAGCAGGAGCAGGUGAGUCCAGAGCGAGAUUAAUGAUUCAUAUUAAAUGGUGGAUAAUCACUACAAAAAUAUUCAUAUAUUUGAGAAUUCCAUGGUCAGAUUUUAGGGCUUCAUGCUCUAUGAGAGAAUGGAGGACAAACUCCAGGUAUAGAGUGGUCGUAUUUACAGUGGAGAAUUGUGGAUGUCCGUUAGGUAAUUAUAGCCAUUUGUUUGCCCAGAUUUUUGGAAUCUUUUCAUUCCUCCAACAUUCCUUUGUCUCUUGCUUUGUUCAUGCCUGAAGCAUCAUUGGCAGUUGGAGUUAGUCUUAUCAACCUAGCAUCUGACAAUACACCCAAAGAAUAAAACAAAGAUCUAUACCA
rnacentral:lncRNA from 1 species